CUUCACCGAACCCAGCCACAGCGGUUCGGCGCGCUCCUGGCCGUAGGUGGCGAGGAUCGCCUGCGCCUC
rnacentral:antisense_RNA from 1 species